ACGCACGCUGGCGGCGUGCUUAACCCAUGCAAGUUGUACGGAAAGGCCCUGCUUUUGUGGGGUGCUCGAGUGGCGAACGGGUGAGUAACACGUGAGUAACCUGCCCUUGACUUUGGGAUAACUUCAGGAAACUGGGGCUAAUACCGGAUAGGAGCUCCUGCUGCAUGGUGGGGGUUGGAAAGUUUCGGCGGUUGGGGAUGGACUCGCGGCUUAUCAGCUUGUUGGUGGGGUAGUGGCUUACCAAGGCUUUGACGGGUAGCCGGCCUGAGAGGGUGACCGGCCACAUUGGGACUAAGAUACGGCCCAGACUCCUACGGGAGGCAGCAGUGGGGAAUAUUGCACAAUGGGCGGAAGCCUGAUGCAGCAACGCGGCGUGCGGGAUGACGGCCUUCGGGUUGUAAACCGCUUUCGCCUGUGACGAAGCGUGAGUGACGGUAAUGGGUAAAGAAGCACCGGCUAACUACGUG
rnacentral:rRNA from 1 species